UACAGAGGGUGCGAGCGUUAAUCGGAAUUACUGGGCGUAAAGCGCGCGUAGGCGGCUUUGCAAGUCGGGUGUGAAAUCCCCAGGCUUAACCUGGGAACUGCAUUCGAGACUGCAUUGCUAGAGUAUGGGAGAGGGAAGUGGAAUUUCCGGUGUAGUGGUGAAAUGCGUAGAUAUCGUGAGGAAGACCAGUGGCGAAGGCGGAUCUCUGGACAGUUCCUGACGCUGAGGCACGAAGGCCAGGGGAGCAAACGGG
rnacentral:rRNA from 1 species